rnacentral:snRNA from 1 species
AAGCGUGGCCUAUCGAUCCU